AACUCUCCUAACAUCUCCAAGGCUGAAAAAGACUCAAGUUAAUUUCUCCCUCACUCUGUGAGGCCCACGCAGGGACUCCUCGUGCUCACAUCUUGAGGGACUUCACCGAUGAGCUGAGAGAAGGAGCCCUGAGAAGAAGCCAGAGGUGAGGAGGGCAGAACGCCUGGGGCCAGUGGCCUGGG
rnacentral:lncRNA from 1 species